UAUCAAAAUGUAUAUUAAUUCUAACAGUGGUAAAAACAGAGUUAAAAACAACAACAUAAGUUUUGCGAUAAACGUUUUAUGAAGUGUAUAUAACACAUUUACAUUGAAAUAAUCUUUGCAGUUUCUAUUUCUGUUAUGUUUCUCAGUGGUGGAAAGAGACAAUAACUCAUGCAACCCCUCUUCCGGUUUAUCCGAUACCUCAUCGGCGUCAACGGUACCUUUAUGAUGCAAAUUGUCAAAAUAUUCAUUACAAAGGCACAGUUAUACAGUCGAAUGUACAUAAAAUAUACCUUUUGAAAAUUGCCAUUACUUUAACUAAAUCUAUGGUGUUUUGUUUUUCAGGCGACACGACUGUUUCUGGUGAGGAUAACGUCGCUUAUGAAAUUCUCGAUAACACCCAAGCUACUGAACACACGUAUAAUACAGCUCCAGUAAGUAUGGUCAACAUUAGAAACGUAGAAUAUGAGAUCUUACAUCUCUAAACAACUGGACUUUCUACUAUACCAAUGAGGCUGUGUUAAACACUAAAUGACAUAUCUUCCUGUAUUCCAUUUAUUAUUAAUGCACUUAUUGUUUUUUGGAGUGUUUAUAUUCUAAUGUUGAUAAUUUCUUAUAAUGUGGACAUGAAUAAGUUUUAUCUCUUUUAAAAGAAUUCAACAGUUUAUAUAAUGCAGUGUAUUUACAAGUAAAGAUACACAUUGUAUUCUGAAAAUUUACUUAAAAAAUUGAUAAACGGACAUAUGUGCGUAAAAAGUAGUAUUUAGUUAAUGUUAAAGUUUCAAAGCUGUAAUUUUGCUAUCAGUGGUGUAUGUUCGUACCAAUUACUGUACGGGAACAUAGACUAGGUUACGGAUGUAAUUAAGAUGAGAAGUCAUCGACAUUAUGAACAUCAUCGACUUGGUUUCAGAUAUAUAAUAAUAAGAUAUGCAGCCAGCCUUGAGUCAAUGUUUGUAAAACUCGAUUCCUCUCGUAAAAAAUACUGAUUAAGCAGCUAAUGGACGUUCCUAAUGUUUGUAUUAUUUCGUCUGAAACAAAAUUAUUACUGUACGAAAAUUCUUCAACACAAUAUUUGUUUUUGUAAGGAAAAUUCAAUUGUAUGAUGAAAAAGCAUUAAAAUGACGCAAACAGAAUAAUUUCUUUAUUUCGAUAGAAGCACACUCUAAUCGGUCAGUUUAUAUUUUAUUACUAUUUUGUUAAUAAUGCAUGUACUCACACAAAAUCUCACAUACCGACAUUGAAUAGGUACUGCAGCAUUCAAAUUGAAGUAGUUUAUAUGUAGAGAUUUCCUUUAUUUUUUGACUAGCAUAUCAUUUUCUGGUGGUUAUGUCUUGUAUGAGUCUCUAUCAAGAUAUAAACUUGCGCACCUUAUAAUUUUUUUUGUCUGGCUCCACCACCUUUUUCCAGAGUUAUAGCCUCUGAAACAGUUUAAAAAUGCACAUAUUUACCUUGCUACGCGCCUAGCUUAUAAGUACUUCAUUUAAAUUUGUGGAACUUUGCAUGAGUCUAUAU